AUGAAGGUGCGGCGGCGACAACCAUGCUUGCGGCGCUGCCGCCGCGGAAGAUCACAUAUAAACUUUUUUUACAUUUUCUGGUUCGUAUUUCCUCCUCUACUCAAAUCUGGAACUAGUUUUUUCAAAAAAAAAGUGGUUGUGCAAGAUCUACAAAAGGAUUUCAGAAAUAUUUUGCUCAAAAACAUCAACAACAGUCACUAA